rnacentral:rRNA from 1 species
AUUGAACGCUGGCGGCAGGCCUAACACAUGCAAGUCGAACGAGUGGCGGACGGGUGAGUCAUGUCUGGGAAACUGCCUGAUGGAGGGGGAUAAAUACUGGAAACGGUAGAUAAUACCGCAUACCAUCGGAUGUGCCCAGACGGGAUUAGCUUGUAGGGGGGGUAAAGGCUCAACUAGGCGACGAUCCCUAGCUGGUCCGAGAGGAUGACCAGCCACACGGGAACUGGGACACGGUCCAGACUCCUACGGGGGGCAGCAGUGGGGAAUAUUGCACAAUGGGCGCAAGCCUGAUACAGCAAUGCCGCGUGUAUGAAGAAGGCCUUCGGGCUGUAAAGUACUUUCUGCGGGGAGGCGUUACCCGCAGAAGAAGCACCGGCUAACUCCGUGCCAGCCGCCGCGGUAAUUC